GAUGAACGCUGGCGGCGUGCCUAAUACAUGCAAGUCGAGCGAACAGACGAGGAGCUUGCUCCUCUGACGUUAGCGGCGGACGGGUGAGUAACACGUGGAUAACCUACCUAUAAGACUGGGAUAACUUCGGGAAACCGGAGCUAAUACCGGAUAAUAUAUUGAACCGCAUGGUUCAAUAGUGAAAGACGGUUUUGCUGUCACUUAUAGAUGGAUCCGCGCCGCAUUAGCUAGUUGGUAAGGUAACGGCUUACCAAGGCAACGAUGCGUAGCCGACCCGAGAGGGUGAUCGGCCACACUGGAACUGAGACACGGUCCAGACUCCUACGGGAGGCAGCAGUAGGGAAUCUUCCGCAAUGGGCGAAAGCUUGACGGAGCAACGCCGCGUGAGUGAUGAAGGUCUUCGGAUCGUAAAACUCUGUUAUUAGGGAAGAACAAAUGAGUAAGUAACUAUGCACGUCUUGACGGUACCUAAUCAGAAAGCCACGGCUAACUACGUG
rnacentral:rRNA from 1 species